UUGGGGGGCAGGAGGCAGGAGCCAUCCUGGCCCAGGGCUGUGGACCGAGUCUUCUUCCACCAACAUCUCUGGCCACCUCUGGCCUUCUCAGGUGACAGGGCUCUUCCCAGCAGCCCCCCAUCCCAUGAUCACCUUGCUCUGGGCUUUGUGCUGGUGACCCCCAAACCAGGCCGGUGUGUUCCCUCUGGGCUCCACACAUGGAAAGUGAGGGGCAGGAAGGAAAAGUUCAUGGAGCAGCUUCACGUGGCCCCCAGAGCCCUUUAUGCAUCACCAUGGGUCCAGCUCCCCUGGGAUCUCAACCCCACCUUAUAGGUGGCGAACCAAGCUUUAUGGAGGCAUAAUUGACUUACAGUAAACUGCUCGUAGUUAAAGCGCAUCACUGGAUAAGUUUUGGCAUGUGCACACUCUUGAAGCCAUCACCACCAUCAAGAUAAUGGAUAUUUCCAUCAAAUGCAAACGUUUCCUGGUGUCUCUUGGUAAACCAUCCCUCCCUCCACCCCUGUUCCUAGGUAAUCACUGAUCUGCCGUCUGUCAUUAGAGAUUAGUUUGCAUUUUUCUGGAUUUUAUAUGAGUGGUAUCCUACGGUACGUAUUUUUUUUUUUUUGGCGGGGGGGUGUUCUGCCUCCUUCCACUCCGAAGAAUGAUUUUUGAGUUUCACCCACGUUGCUGUGUGUAUCAAUAGCUCAUUCCUUUCUAUUGUUGAGUAAUUCUCCACCAAAUGAAUAUGCUAUAAUUUGUUUAACCAUUAUUCUACUAAUGGAUAUCAGGGAUUUUCCAGUUUUGGGUUGUUAUAAACAGAUUCUCUGAACAUUUGUUUACAAGUCUUUGUGUUAAGACAUAGUGCUUUAAUUUCUCUUGGGUAAAUACCUCAGAGUGGAAUGGUUGAGUUGUACGGGAG
rnacentral:lncRNA from 10 species